GGCCUAAUAGUGUAGUGGUUAACAUACCUCUUUCGGGUAGUCCCCCUUCCCUUUGCGAGGAAUUAGAGGUGAUCCCUGGUUCGAAUCCUGGUUAGGCCC